GACAGAGGAUGCAAGCGUUAUCCGGAAUGAUUGGGCGUAAAGCGUCUGUAGGUGGCUUCUUAAGUCUGCCGUCAAAUCCCAGGGCUUAACCCUGGCCAGGCGGUGGAGACUACUAAGCUGGAGUACGGUAGGGGCAGGAGGGAAUUUCCGGUGGAGCGGUGAAAUGCGUAGAUAUCGGGAAAGAACACCAACGGCGGAAGGCACUCUGCUGGGCCGAAACUGACACUGAGAGAGAGAGCUAGGGGAGCGAAUGGG
rnacentral:rRNA from 1 species